rfam:Paenibacillus popilliae ATCC 14706 DNA, contig: contig160.
AAAGUUUGACAGACAAUCGCUGGUGACUUGUGUCACGAGAGGAAAGUCCGGGCUCCAUAGGGCAAGGAUGCUGGAUAACGUCCAGUCAGCGCAAGCUGAAGGAUAGUGCCACAGAAAUGGACCGCCGAUGGCCGUCUUUAUGACGGCACAGGCAAGGGUGGAACCGUGGUGUAAGAGACCACGAGGAACGCUGGUGACUUCGUUCCUGGUAAACCCCAUCUGGAGCAAGACCUAAUGGGACGCACGCCUGUCUAUACAGGCAUCUCGGCCCGAGAUGCGUCUGGGUUGGUCGCUUGAGCGGUGCAGCAAUGCACAGCCUAGAUAGAUGAUUGUCGCUUAGUAGUGGAAGGGUUGCCCCCGUGAUACCACGAUGAGUACAGAACCCGGCUUAUGGCAAGCUUUCCGA